rnacentral:rRNA from 1 species
AGUCCCUUAACCGGAUCUCCUUCGGGGCAGAGGAGACAGGUAGUGCAUGGUUGUCGUCAGCUCGUGUCGUGAGAUGUUGGGUUAAGUCCCGCAACGAGCGCAACCCACGUUAGUUGCUAACGCGUGAAGGCGAGCACUCUAGACGAACUGCCGUUGACAAAACGGAGGAAGGUGGGAUGACGUCAAAUCAUCAUGCCCUUAUGUUCUGGGCUACACACGUGCUACAAUGGCCGGUACAGACGGACGCAAAGCCGCGAGGUGGAGCAAAUCCUAAAAAGCCGGUACUCAGUUCGGAUUGCAGGCUGCAAUUCGCCUGCAUGAAGUCGGAAUCACUAGUAAUCGCAGGUCAGCAUACUGCGGUGAAUACGUUCCCGGGCCUU